GACGAACGCUGGCGGCGUGCUUAACACAUGCAAGUCGAACGGAAAGGCCCUGCUGUUGUGGGGUGCUCGACUGGCGAACGGGUGAGUAACACGUGAGUAACCUGCCCUUGACUUUGGGCUAACGUCAAGAAACGGGGGCUAAUACCGGAUAGGAGCCUCUGCUGCAUUUUUGGGGUUGGAAAGUUUCGGCAGUUGGGGAUGGACUCGCGUCUGAUCAUCUUGUUGGUGGGGUAGUGGCUUACCAAGGCCUUUACGGGUAGCCGGCCGGAGAGGGUGACCGGCCAGACUGGGACUGAGAUACGGCCCAGCCUCCUACGGGCGGCAGCAGUGGGGAAUAUUGCACGAUGGACGGAAGACUGAUGCAGCAACGCCGCGUGCGGGAUGACGGCCUUCGGGUUGUAAACCGCUUUCGCCUGUGACGAAGCGUGAGUGACGGUAAUGGGUAAAGAAGCACCGGCUAACUACGUG
rnacentral:rRNA from 1 species